CCUACGGGAGGCAGCAGUGGGGAAUAUUGGGCAAUGGAGGAAACUCUGACCCAGCAAUGCCGCGUGAAUGAAGAAGGUCUUCGGAUUGUAAAGUUCUUUAGUCAGGGAAGAAUAAAAUGACGGUACCUGAAGAAUAAGCUCCGGCUAACUACGUGCCAGCAGCCGCGGUAAUACGUAGGGAGCAAGCGUUGUGCGGAAUGACUGGGCGUAAAGGGUGCGUAGGCGGGUAUACAAGUUAGAAGGGAAAUACCCAAGGCUUAACUCGGGUUCUGCUUCUCAAACGGUAAGAAUUGAGUGCAGUAGAGGUUAGUGGAAUUCCUAGUGUAGCGGUGUCAUGCGUAGAUAU
rnacentral:rRNA from 1 species